rnacentral:rRNA from 1 species
CACGUAGGGUGCGAGCGUUGUCCGGAAUUAUUGGGCGUAAAGAGCUCGUAGGCGGUGUGUCGCGUCGGCCGUGAAAACCUGCAGCUUAACUGUGGGCUUGCGGUCGAUACGGGCAUCACUGGAGUUCGGCAGGGGAGACUGGAAUUCCUGGUGUAGCGGUGAAAUGCGCAGAUAUCAGGAGGAACACCGAUGGCGAAGGCAGGUCUCUGGGCAUUAACUGACGCUGAGGAGCGAAAGCAUGGGGAGCGAACAGG